rnacentral:rRNA from 1 species
GAUGAACGCUGGCGGCGUGCCUAAUACAUGCAAGUCGAACGAGGUGCUUUUGUAGCAAUACGAGAGUAUCCUAGUGGCGAACGGGUGAGUAACGCGUGGAUGACCUGCCCCAAAGUGUGGGGAUAACAGUCCGAAAGGAUUGCUAAUACCUCAUGUGGUUAUCGGUUUUAGAAAGCGAUAACUAAAAGCAGCAAUGCGCUUUGGGAGGGAUCUGCGUCCCAUCAGCUAGUUGGUGAGGUAACGGCUCACCAAGGCGACGACGGGUAGGGGACCUGAGAGGGUGGCCCCCCACAAUGGAACUGAAACACGGUCCAUACACCUACGGGUGGCAGCAGUAGGGAAUAUUGCUCAAUGGGCGAAAGCCUGAAGCAGCAACGCCGCGUGUGCGAUGAAGGCCUUCGGGUCGUAAAGCACUUUUCUAAGAGAUGAGAAAGGACAGUAUCUUAGGAAUAAGUCUCGGCUAACUACGUG